rnacentral:tRNA from 1 species
GGGGCCAUAGUCUAGCUUGGUCUAGGAUGUCAGAGGUUGCUAUAAAAAACAACCGACGAACCUGGGGCGCUGGAGAUCGUGGGUUCAAAUCCCACUGGCCCCA